rnacentral:lncRNA from 10 species
GACUCUUCUGUCGUUGCAGCGGUGAAGCAGAAGCAGAUUCGGCGCGGGGUGAAAGAGGUUCAGAAAUUUGUCAACAAAGGAGAAAAAGGGAUCAUGGUUUUGGCAGGAGACACACUGCCCAUUGAGGUAUACUGCCAUCUCCCAGUCAUGUGUGAGGACCGAAAUUUGCCCUAUGUCUAUAUCCCCUCUAAGACGGUAAGGAGCACGUGGCCCCCUGACCUUGCUCAGCACUGGGGUGUCUGGGAUAGUCUGCCAUAGCAGGAGAGUGUGGGAAAGAGCCAGGAGUGUUGGAGCUAAGACAGGCCUGGAUGGAUUCUCAGCUCCACAUCUUCUUAGUUUUGGGACUACAGAUAUGUUACUUCUUGCAUUUCAGUUCCCAUCUUGUAAAGUGGGAAUCCCAGCCCAGGCGCUGUGGCUCACACCUGUAAUCCUAGUGCUUUGGGAGGCCAAGACAGGAGGAUCAGUUGAGGACAGGAGUUCAGGAAUAACCUGCGCAACAAAGUGAGACUCCAUCUCUACAAAAAAAAUUUUUUUAAUUAGCUGGGUGUGGUG